rnacentral:rRNA from 1 species
AUGCAAGUCGAGCGAUGAAGUCCCUUCGGGGAUGAAUUAGCGGCGAACGGCUGAGGAACACGUGAGAAAUCUGCCUUCAACACUGGGAUAACUCCGGGAAACCGGGGCUAAUACCGGAUAUGAAACUCAGCGGCAUCGCUGGGUUUGGAAAGUUUUUCGGUUGAAGAUGAUCUCGCGGCCUAUCAGCUUGUUGGUGAGGUAAUGGCUCACCAAGGCGACGACGGGUAGCCGGCCUGAGAGGGCGACCGGCCACACUGGGACUGAGACACGGCCCAGACUCCUACGGGAGGCAGCAGUGGGGAAUAUUGGGCAAUGGAGGAAACUCUGACCCAGCGACGCCGCGUGCGGGAUGAAGGCCUUCGGGUUGUAAACCGCUUUCAGCAGGGAAGAAGCGAAAGUGACGGUACCUGCAGAAGAAGCACCGGCUAACUAUGUGCCAGCAGCCGCGGUAAUACAUAGGGUGCAAGCGUUGUCCGGAAUUAUUGGGCGUAAAGAGCUCGUAGGUGGUUCGUCACGUCGGAUGUGAAAAUCUGGGGCUCAACCCCAGACCUGCAUUCGAUACGGGCGAGCUAGAGUUUGGUAGGGGAGACUGGAAUUCCUGGUGUAGCGGUGGAAUGCGCAGAUAUCAGGAGGAACACCAAUGGCGAAGGCAGGUCUCUGGGCCAAUACUGACACUGAGGAGCGAAAGCGCGGGGAGCGAACAGGAUUAGAUACCCUGGUAGUCCGCGCCGUAAACGGUGGGCACUAGUUGUGGGAACCUUCCACGGUUUCUGCGACGCAGCUAACGCAUUAAGUGCCCCGCCUGGGGAGUACGAUCGCAAGAUUAAAACUCAAAGGAAUUGACGGGGCCCCGCACAAGCAGCGGAGCAUGCGGCUUAAUUCGACGCAACGCGAAGAACCUUACCAAGGCUUGACAUAUACAGGAAUAUGGCAGAGAUGUCAUAGCGGGUAAACGUCUGUAUACAGGUGGUGCAUGGGU